GCGAUACAGGGUGACAGCCCCGUACACAAAAAUGCACAUACUGUGAGCUCGAUGAGUAGGGCGGGACACGUGGUAUCCUGUCUGAAUAUGGGGGGACCAUCCUCCAAGGCUAAAUACUCCUGACUGACCGAUAGUGAACCAGUACCGUGAGGGAAAGGCGAAAAGAACCCCGGCGAGGGGAGUGAAAAAGAACCUGAAACCGUGUACGUACAAGCAGUGGGAGCCUCUUAAUGGGGUGACUGCGUACCUUUUGUAUAAUGGGUCAGCGACUUAUAUUCUGUAGCAAGGUUAACCGAAUAGGGGAGCCGAAGGGAAACCGAGUCUUAACUGGGCGUUAAGUUGCAGGGUAUAGACCCGAAACCCGGUGAUCUAGCCAUGGGCAGGUUGAAGGUUGGGUAACACUAACUGGAGGACCGAACCGACUAAUGUUGAAAAAUUAGCGGAUGACUUGUGGCUGGGGGUGAAAGGCCAAUCAAACCGGGAGAUAGCUGGUUCUCCCCGAAAGCUAUUUAGGUAGCGCCUCGUGAAUUCAUCUCCGGGGGUAGAGCACUGUUUCGGCAAGGGGGUCAUCCCGACUUACCAACCCGAUGCAAACUGCGAAUACCGGAGAAUGUUAUCACGGGAGACACACGGCGGGUGCUAACGUCCGUCGUGAAGAGGGAAACAACCCAGACCGCCAGCUAAGGUCCCAAAGUCAUGGUUAAGUGGGAAACGAUGUGGGAAGGCCCAGACAGCCAGGAUGUUGGCUUAGAAGCAGCCAUCAUUUAAAGAAAGCGUAAUAGCUCACUGGUCGAGUCGGCCUGCGCGGAAGAUGUAACGGGGCUAAACCAUGCACCGAAGCUGCGGCAGCGACACUAUGUGUUGUUGGGUAGGGGAGCGUUCUGUAAGCCUGUGAAGGUGGCCUGUGAGGGUUGCUGGAGGUAUCAGAAGUGCGAAUGCUGACAUAAGUAACGAUAAAGCGGGUGAAAAGCCCGCUCGCCGGAAGACCAAGGGUUCCUGUCCAACGUUAAUCGGGGCAGGGUGAGUCGACCCCUAAGGCGAGGCCGAAAGGCGUAGUCGAUGGGAAACAGGUUAAUAUUCCUGUACUUGGUGUUACUGCGAAGGGGGGACGGAGAAGGCUAUGUUGGCCGGGCGACGGUUGUCCCGGUUUAAGCGUGUAGGCUGGUUUUCCAGGCAAAUCCGGAAAAUCAAGGCUGAGGCGUGAUGACGAGGCACUACGGUGCUGAAGUAACAAAUGCCCUGCUUCCAGGAAAAGCCUCUAAGCAUCAGGUAACAUCAAAUCGUACCCCAAACCGACACAGGUGGUCAGGUAGAGAAUACCAAGGCGCUUGAGAGAACUCGGGUGAAGGAACUAGGCAAAAUGGUGCCGUAACUUCGGGAGAAGGCACGCUGAUAUGUAGGUGAAGCGACUUGCUCGUGGAGCUGAAAUCAGUCGAAGAUACCAGCUGGCUGCAACUGUUUAUUAAAAACACAGCACUGUGCAAACACGAAAGUGGACGUAUACGGUGUGACGCCUGCCCGGUGCCGGAAGGUUAAUUGAUGGGGUUAGCGGUAACGCGAAGCUCUUGAUCGAAGCCCCGGUAAACGGCGGCCGUAACUAUAACGGUCCUAAGGUAGCGAAAUUCCUUGUCGGGUAAGUUCCGACCUGCACGAAUGGCGUAAUGAUGGCCAGGCUGUCUCCACCCGAGACUCAGUGAAAUUGAACUCGCUGUGAAGAUGCAGUGUACCCGCGGCAAGACGGAAAGACCCCGUGAACCUUUACUAUAGCUUGACACUGAACAUUGAGCCUUGAUGUGUAGGAUAGGUGGGAGGCUUUGAAGUGUGGACGCCAGUCUGCAUGGAGCCGGCCUUGAAAUACCACCCUUUAAUGUUUGAUGUUCUAACGUUGGCCCGUAAUCCGGGUUGCGGACAGUGUCUGGUGGGUAGUUUGACUGGGGCGGUCUCCUCCUAAAGAGUAACGGAGGAGCACGAAGGUUGGCUAAUCCUGGUCGGACAUCAGGAGGUUAGUGCAAUGGCAUAAGCCAGCUUGACUGCGAGCGUGACGGCGCGAGCAGGUGCGAAAGCAGGUCAUAGUGAUCCGGUGGUUCUGAAUGGAAGGGCCAUCGCUCAACGGAUAAAAGGUACUCCGGGGAUAACAGGCUGAUACCGCCCAAGAGUUCAUAUCGACGGCGGUGUUUGGCACCUCGAUGUCGGCUCAUCACAUCCUGGGGCUGAAGUAGGUCCCAAGGGUAUGGCUGUUCGCCAUUUAAAGUGGUACGCGAGCUGGGUUUAGAACGUCGUGAGACAGUUCGGUCCCUAUCUGCCGUGGGCGCUGGAGAACUGAGGGGGGCUGCUCCUAGUACGAGAGGACCGGAGUGGACGCAUCACUGGUGUUCGGGUUGUCAUGCCAAUGGCACUGCCCGGUAGCUAAAUGCGGAAGAGAUAAGUGCUGAAAGCAUCUAAGCACGAAACUUGCCCCGAGAUGAGUUCUCCCUGACUCCUUGAGGGUCCUGAAGGAACGUUGAAGACGACGACGUUGAUAGGCCGGGUGUGUAAGCGCAGCGAUGCGUUGAGCUAACCGGUACUAAUGAACCGUGAGGCUUAACCUU
rnacentral:rRNA from 1 species